rnacentral:misc_RNA from 1 species
GAUGAAGAACGUAGCGUAAUGCGAUAAGUAAUGUGAAUUGCAGAAUUCAGUGAAUCAUCGAAUCUUUGAACGCACAUUGCGCCCGCUAGUAUUCUGGCGGGCAUGCCUGUCCGAGCGUCAUUUCAACCCUCAAGCCCCCGGGCUUGGUGUUGGGGAUCGGCGAGCCUCCGCGCCCGCCGUCCCCUAAAUCUAGUGGCGGUCUCGCUGUAGCUUCCUCUGCGUAGUAGCACACCUCGCACUGGGAAACAGCGCGGCCACGCCGUUAAACCCCCAACUUCUGAACGUUUGACCUCGGAUCAGGUAGGAAUACCCGCUGAACUUAAGCAUAUCAAUAAGCGGAGGA